rnacentral:tRNA from 1 species
GUGUUUUUAGUUUAAUGGGUAAAACCUCAGAGUGUGAAUCUGAAGAACAGGGUUCGAAUCCCGAAAACACC